AAGGUGGUGCCGCGGAGAUCCAGCGCCAGGACCUGCGCCCUCGGGUGUGGGUGUUCCUGGCGGACUUGGCGAGGUGGCCGGAGAGGGAGGGUCCGACGGGGCGGGCGCAGAGUCCAUCUUGUGCAGGGCAGCGACCCCACAUCAAAAUCGCCGCGAUUUCCCAAUCAGUCUAGGAAACUGGGGAAAAGAAGCUAAAUGCAGCAGCAGCAGCAUGAAAAUAGUUUAAAAUGGAUGAGUGUGUGGACCUAACGCCAGUCCAAGGUGUUCAACGCAGCCACAUAAGUGUACAAGUAACAUGAAUGAUGGAGAGGGCAGUGGAGUUCUCGAAAGCUGGGAGCCCCAUAUCAGAAACACAGCUACCUACCCAAAUAAAAAUACCAUCUAGGACCUCUAAGGCUGACGCUAGAAGGAAGUAAAAGUUUCUUCUUUCUAGCAGAGCCAGAAUAUUCAAAUGAACUUUGCUAAAGGAUAACCUAAAAGAAUUUUCCACUAUGAGAGCCUGACAUAGUUCAUUCACCUUUAAUAAAUGAAGCAGGGCUUCCCUGGUGGCACAGUGGUUAAGAAUCCACCUGCCAAUGCAGGGGACACAGGUUCGAGCCCUGGUCCAGGAAGAUCCCACAUGCCGGGGAGCAACUAAGCCCGUGCACCACAACUACUGAGCCUGCGCUCUAGAGCCCGCGAGCCACAACUACUGAAGCCCGCACGCCUAGAGCCCAUGCUCCGCAACAAGAGAAGCGCCGCAAUGAGAAGCCCGCACACCACAACGAAGAGUAACCCCUGCUCGACGCAACUAAAGAAAGCCUGCACGCAACAACGAAGACCCAAUGCAGCCAUAAAUAAAUAAAUAUAAUACAUAAAUAAAUUUAUUAAAAAAAUAAAAAAUAAAUGAAGCAGUGAUGCCAAUUCAAAAA